UUUUCUAUGUCAGCUCCGGUUAUGCAUAUAUAAAUAGUGAAGUCGAAGAGCGGAUGAUAGUAAAGCAGAUUCUUGCAAAAUCAUUACUAAGAAAUACACCAUGAAUUCUUCACAUCUCAAGUUGGCUUUCUUCGUAUUAACCUUCAUAUCUAUGCAACUGUGUUCGAAUAAUCCACCUUUAGCUGAAGCCGGUAGAUGGUGGAAGGUAAUAAGAAGAGUUCUGAGACCCACGUGUGCAGGUUGUGCAGGAAUUUGUGAAAGAAAAGUGCCAGGACGUUGUCGGUGUAGAGUCGAUCAAGCAUGUAUGAGGCGGUACAGGGGACGUUAACUAUUUCUAUCAGAAACUUGUCAUUGAAUUGUUUAUUACUUUUUACAGUGCAUUUGUAUUUUUGAUAAAAAAAAUUCUCUAUA